rnacentral:rRNA from 1 species
GAUGAACGCUAGCUACAGGCUUAACACAUGCAAGUCGAGGGGCAGCAUGGUCUUAGCUUGCUAAGGCCGAUGGCGACCGGCGCACGGGUGAGUAACGCGUAUCCAACCUGCCUUACACUCUUGGACAGCCUUCUGAAAGGGAGAUUAAUACAAGAUGUUAUCAUGAGUAAGCAUUUUCGCAUGAUUAAAGGUUUACCGGUGUAAGAUGGGGAUGCGUUCCAUUAGAUAGUAGGCGGGGUAACGGCCCACCUAGUCUUCGAUGGAUAGGGGUUCUGAGAGGAAGGUCCCCCACAUUGGAACUGAGACACGGUCCAAACUCCUACGGGAGGCAGCAGUGAGGAAUAUUGGUCAAUGGACGAGAGUCUGAACCAGCCAAGUAGCGUGAAGGAUGAAGGUUCUAUGGAUUGUAAACUUCUUUUAUACGGGAAUAAACGGAUCCACGUGUGGAUUUUUGCAUGUACCGUAUGAAUAAGGAUCGGCUAACUCCGUGCCAGCAGCCGCGGUAAUACGGAGGAUCCGAGCGUUAUCCGGAUUUAUUGGGUUUAAAGGGAGCGUAGAUGGGUUGUUAAGUCAGUUGUGAAAGUUUGCGGCUCAACCGUAAAAUUGCAAUUGAUACUGGCAGUCUUGAGUACAGUUGAGGUAGGCGGAAUUCGUGGUGUAGCGGUGAAAUGCUUAGAUAUCACGAAGAACUCCGAUUGCGAAGGCAGCUUACUAACCUGUAACUGACAUUGAUGCUCGAAAGUGUGGGUAUCAAACAGGAUUAGAUACCCUGGUAGUCCACACGGUAAACGAUGAAUACUCGCUGUAGGCGAUAUACAGUCUGCGGCCAAGCGAAAGCAUUAAGUAUUCCACCUGGGGAGUACGCCGGCAACGGUGAAACUCAAAGGAAUUGACGGGGGCCCGCACAAGCGGAGGAACAUGUGGUUUAAUUCGAUGAUACGCGAGGAACCUUACCCGGGCUUAAAUUGCAACCGAAUAUGGCGGAAACGCUAUAGCUAGCAAUAGCGGUUGUGAAGGUGCUGCAUGGUUGUCGUCAGCUCGUGCCGUGAGGUGUCGGCUUAAGUGCCAUAACGAGCGCAACCCUUGCCGAUAGUUACUAACAGGUUAUGCUGAGGACUCUGUCGGGACUGCCAUCGUAAGAUGUGAGGAAGGUGGGGAUGACGUCAAAUCAGCACGGCCCUUACGUCCGGGGCUACACACGUGUUACAAUGGGGGGUACAGAGGGCUGCUACCACGCAAGUGGAUGCCAAUCCCAAAAACCUCUCUCAGUUCGGAUUGAAGUCUGCAAACCCGACUUCAUGAAGCUGGAUUCGCUAGUAAUCGCGCAUUCAGCCACGGGCGCGGUGAAUACGUUUCCCGGGCCU